CUGGGAUCGGGCUGUUCAUGUACAUAUCUCCGAGAUGCGCGAUUCAGCUGCCUCGCCUCCGCUGAGCACGAGCAGUCAGCCCUGCUGUGAAAACGCUGCUGGCCGUGUGGUGAUUUCUUACAGCGAACGGGACACCCCUCCGUCCUGUUGUGAUGGAAUCGCCCCUUCAUCCUCUGCCGUGAUGAUCUCUUAUGUCUCUGUGGAGAUGGUAUCGCCCAACUUCACCGCUUGAGUAGCGUGGUUUGGAAAGGCUUUGAGAGUAUAUAGAAACUGUCAGGCACUGGAACCAAAUGAGAAAACAAGAGCUGGAGCCUGGCCAAAAAAAGGAGAGCUUGCUGAUGAUUCAUUGGACCAGACCACACCAGAUUCCCCCACCCCAAUGGGAGAUAAUAAGGCCAUUUAUAUGGGUGUCAGUGGACAGGAAGCAUGACCAUAUCUGGAUUCUGAAGGGCAGACAAUCAAGUCUUCAGAAGAAAAUGUUGGAAGAAACCACACAGACUUUUAUAGUGAUGAAUGCUGUCUGGUGGGAUGCUAUCCCUUUAAACGUCUGCCGACGGGACAGUGGCGUAUCCUCUCUCUUGCAUAUGGCUUCACUCUGUGAAGAGGACUUCCCGCCGUCAGCGUGCCUCAUUCUCUUCGGUGCGUGUUGGCUGGGCUCCACGGCGGAGUUGAAGCCAAGACCUGUCUAGAUAGCCCAUCAAAAAGCACUCUAUGUGAGCCCACACUCAGAGAUCUGGUGCUUCUGUGAAGUUCUUCAUUACUGUAACUCAUCAUUUCAUUAUCUAACAAAUGAAUGGCAAACUACAUGUAUUUGCAAGUCAUGCUCCCUGUGAAAAGGGAGAAUAUUGUCUUUGAAAUGCUUUCAAAAAU
rnacentral:lncRNA from 1 species